AUAAAAGCUCAUGUAGUUAUAAAAAUGUCCUAUUUUAAAGGUUUUGAAACAUUUUACUAAUGUUAAAAUUUUGUCAUGUUAAUCAUGAAAACUGCAACGGGAGUUCGAUUGCUUCUUUUUCUUCUAUGUUUCCUCCUGGCUAAGUCGACAUAGUUCAUAGUUAAGGGAGCUAUUACUAAGAAACAUUUUUGCUUCAUAGGGAGUGUUUUCACCACAAAAAUGAUUGAGUUAUAGAGGUCUGUUUUACAUAUUUUGACAGCAUUACUGGUAUUAAGUAAUGCCAACAUAAGCUUUUUAUCAAUAAGAGGUUUUGGCUCGAAGGCCAUAGAGUAUAUAAGUAUAUUCAUGAGUCAGGUUCAUAUUUGACUUCAUUUAUUGCCUCAAACUAGUGGGACUUUGAAUAAAUUAUUCUCAUCUCAGGAUUUCUCUAUAGUAGGGUUAUGAAUGCAACUGGCAACACUGCUCAGAACCUUUGUCCACCUCCUGUUGGCAUUAAGUACAAAGUAACAGAAUCACAAUUGCUUAUAUAGCACAUUUUUCUUAAAUAAUAAGCAAUCUGAAGAUUUUUUUUUUUUUUUGGUUCUUUUUUUCGGAGCUGGGGACCGAACCCAGGGCCUUGCGCUUCCUAGGCAAGCGCUCUACCGCUGAGCUAAAUCCCCAACCCCAAGAUGUUUUAAGAUACAGAAUAUUGCAGAGUUUAUAUGAAAGUUCAUACUAUUUUCUGUAAAUGAUUUGAGCAUCCUUUUAUCUAUGGUGGAUGAGAGUAAGAAUUCUACAUCCAAUUUUAUAUUUAUGGGGAUAAAUAGGUAGGGAUAGCUGUCCCUCAGUCUUGUCUAUGAGGAAUUAAGUAGUGCUUGGCAUAGGAUGAAUACUUAUUACUAAAAUAAAGUUAGAGCAGUCUCGAGUAUUUUAGAACUUGUAUUUAUUAAAGAGACAAAACUAUAUCCUUAACAAUUCCUCUUUAUUAUUAAUUCAGUAGUGAGGAUUAAACCUAGUCCCUUGCUCGUAUUGAGCAUUCUACUAUUGAACCACAUCCAUAGAUCUCUUUCUCCUUCAGUUUUUCAAGACAGACCCAUCCUCUUGCUAAGUCACUCAGGCUGGUGGUGGUAGAUUUGAAUCUAUAGCUCUUAUGACCUUGAAUUUGAUGCCCUGCUGCCUUAGCCCCAUGAGUAGCUAAAAUUACAGUUUUUCACUAGGCAUGGUCAUCUCAAAGUUUUAUAUUGACAGCAGAACUAUAAUACAUAAAUAAGGUAGAAUUAUUUUCUAUGUCUUAGCUUGAAAUUACACUUGCCAUGUGGUUUUUUUUUUUAAAA
rnacentral:sRNA from 1 species